GUUCAACAAUGAACAACUGGUACUGACGUCCACUGGAACAUGAACAAUGUUCAGGAAAGAGCAGAAGAAAAAAAAUGGAAAAACACAA